GCAGUGGUGGCUCAGUGGUUAGAGCACUGGGUUAUUGACGAUACUGAGUUCGACACCCAGGUUUGGCCACUGCC
rnacentral:tRNA from 1 species